UUUUUUUUUCCUUCAGUGGAGGAAACUGAAAGUUACAGCUGUGGGGCAGUGUGCUCCGUGCUAAUGACUGUGCUAAUGAGUUGAUCAGACCUUCAGCUAACCUGUCUUGUUCACAGAGGCAGAGGAUCCCACACGUUUUGAAUGGAGACGGGGCUGCUGGUGCCAGCUUUGCAGUGCCAGACUCUCUUUGGGCCAGCUCAGCUACCUGCACCUCCUGCUGAAGAUCUUUUGCUCUGUCGAGGAGAGUAACAGUGACAUCCUGUGGCUCUAGAGAAGAAUUACUGCUCUGGGUGCCAACGAGAAGGGCUCCUGAAGCACAGCCGUGUGUUAAGGGCAGGUCAGCAAGACUUCCCUUCAGAGAGGCUUUCUGCAGAAGGUAGUGAUGGAAGGGCUUGGCUACUUCUUCAGCGCUGAUACUGUCCGCUGUCAUCCAUUACUGCUGGCUUGUCAGGUGAGGCAGCAUCCAUAUCUGCAAAAUGGACAUGAGGAAAUUGCCAGCUCUAUCAUCCAUCCCAUCCCACUUGUUUUGCUUUGCUGAUCGUGGAAGAAAGGCCUCAAUUUCCAGUAGCCUGGGGAAGUUAUUUGCCUGUCAUGCAGCCCUCCUUUUGUAAAAGGUGCUUAAGGAAGGAAUGUAGAGCAUGUAGAGUGAUAAACAGGUAAGAGAAAUCUGGACAUCUCCCUUUGGAUAGCAGCUGUUCCCUGGCUAAAACCCAGGGAGCAACUGUCUGUGUGCAGUCUGUCCUAGCAGGGCUUGCUCCUGCUAGCUAUGCAGUAGCACAGUGGUGCUAGCACAGCUAAGAUCCUAUUUGAUUUGUGAUAUCCACAGAUUGUUCCUUUUUUUUUCCUUGCUCCUCCAAAAGCAAAGAAAGCAAACCCUGAGCUGUGGCUGCCAAGGCUUUGUGGGCAAGUCAGAGCAGGAAGAGGGGACAGGAAGCAGCAGUAAAGUAAACAUUUCCUUUCAUUUUGCUGAAGUGCUGCACCCUGGUUGUGCGUUGAUGCAUAAUGCCAUUCUUCCUCUCAUUAUAAAGCAGGGCUGAGUGCUGGUGCUUUCUUACCUGUUGAGGGCUUGGGGUACAUCCUGUGGAAAAACAAGAGGAAAGCAUAGAAGGUAAAGGCCAAGCCUCCAAAGAUCAUCCCGCAGACUAGGAAACUGUAGCUGCCCUGAUCGUGUAUAAUCUGCAAUUGGAGAGAAAAGAAAAAGCAGCAGAGGUGUCAUCACAGCAUUUCAAUACCUAAUUGGCAUUCGGUGAGAGCUUUACUUUUUGAUAGCUCAAGCUCUUGGAGCAGCUGUCCAAAACCUGGACUAAGAUUUCUAGUGAAGUUCAGGCAGGUUUUGGCACUCCUCAUCUUCUCCCUUUGCCCACACUUACCGAUCCCACCAGCAGCUGUAGUACCAUCUCUCCAAUUCCAGCUCCUGUCACUAACACAGUUGUGGCACAGCCUGAAAAGAAACAGCACAAGUGAUAGUGACAGCCAGCAGGACCAGCCUGUAGCCACUUCAGAUUGCAGAGAAAUGCUCAGUGGAAGUUUCCAUCCAAUGGUGAGACUGACUCGUGGGAGUAAGAGAAUGAAAACAUUAAUACAAAAAACAUCUGUUCUGUCACUUGUCCCCAUCAGCAGAAGUGCUGUUGCUUCUUACUGAAAAGAUUUUCAUUCUUCUGUAUCACUGAGGUUGGCAGUGACCUCCUAUAGGGGCUGGCCAAGGGAUUUUCUGUUUGCUGAUAACCUGGGUGAUGCUUUCAGAACUGACAUUCUUGUCUGAGAGCCCUGAAGCUGCAGGAAACUAAGAAGCAGUCUGGAUCCCUGCCUGUGGAAGUUAUUAGUGCAGCAAAUCCGGGAUUUGUGCAGUCAGCUUUUCCAACUACAAGCUCAAAUGAAGAUGGUAUUCAAAAACAGACCUUUCUUCUAAUCCUCCUAAGCAUCCCUAAAGCAGGAGGGGGGACCUGCUGGCUGUCAUUGUACCUGAGCUCUAGGCUUGAACACCUGCCUGCUUUCAGAUUGUGCCAAGUGUGCCCACAUCCCCACUCACCUUUGUACUGCAGGAUGUCCUCAGUGUAAGCCAGCAUGCUGGGGAAAGUGCUGCUGAGAAACAGACCCAGAGAUGCUGUCCCCACAAACAAGAAGACAACGCUGGAGGAGAAGAUCAGGAGCAGGAGGAAGGUUAUCAGGACUCCAAUCUGUAAGCAACAAGCACAGAGUCAGCAGGAGGGCAAAUGCUGAAUUAAAAUGAAUAUUAUGGAGGCAGCAGUCUGAAUCGUUAACAAGUCUUACUCAUCAGGCUGAAGAGUUCAGUUGCUCCAUAACUUCUCACACCCCACCUCUCACAAGAAGAGUAAAGCCAAAGUGCCAAAGGCAUUAAACCAAACCUGCCCUCACUUCAGUCGUGCUGCAGUAUGCAAUAAUAGCAAGAACAUCUCAGCUGUGCUGGUAACCGUGGCACAGGGAGGCAGCAGAGGGAGCUCUUCUAUACCAACUUAAGGUAUCUUAAAUAUUCAAGCCCUGGUGAUGGGCAUUUGCAUAUACACAGGAGCAAUUUGGAUUUGCUGUAAUGAUGGAAUGACUGCCACGAGCUGCUCUGUCUGACUACAUGCAGCAGUACCAACAAGCAAGCACUGCAUGAAAUGUGUGUUUUUGGCCUUGGGUGAUGUUAUUGCCUUUGAAAGGAAGUGAGGAGGCUUCCAUUAAGAGUUGGAGGCUCCUCCCUUCUCUCUCCAAAUAUGAGCAGCUGCUAAAAUGCCUUGUCCUCAGGUUUUAGAGAGCAGUCAAACAGCUCAGAAAGUGAUAAAGCCUGUCGAGGUGAAGCUUAUGCCACAUACCUGAUCUAGAGCUGAUGGGGCUGAGCCUUCCCUGCUCCCAUGUCACUACACUAGUGACUGCAUUCUGAAACAGGAGGUUAUUGUACUCAUCUUAAAAAUAAGGGCAAAGCACUUCACUGUAGCUGUUGGUAUAUAGAUUUAGUUGACGAGGUGACCAGCAAUAAGGUGCCAAGCAGGCUUCCUCAUCUGUCAGCAACAGAUAUUAGCAUAGGACUAAUAUCAGAAGGUCCCACUGUGCAUUGUCACCACCCUGUUUUGUUUAUUAACAGUAAAACCUGCCAUCAUAACUUCUGGUUUAAAUAAAUUGUAGAUUAACUGCCAUCUCUUCAUGAUGGGGAAGUGGGACCAGUUCCCUCCCUGCUGUCUGUCAUAUCCUUCUGUGCAUCUCUCAUAUAUCCUCUCAGGCUUCCAUUUCCUUCCUUCAGGUGAAUACAUUUUAUUAAUUUAAGCAAGCAAAUAUAACAUUGAUUUGUUUGACAACCAGUAAUGUCUAAGCAGAGAACUUUCAAGCUAGCUGCCUUCCUUUCCCCAAGGCUGACACAGACAUUGAUUUCCCUGUGGAUGCCAGAGAAGAUGAUGUGAAAAUAAAUGAAGUUGGCAGAUGGUUUACUAGUUGCUUUCAGAAACCUCAAGCUCAGAAAAGCAGUGCAACCACACUGCAGGUGUUAGCUACCUCCUGCAUGACAGUUACAUAGGGAUGGUGGUGCAGCUCACCCCAAUGGUGUGCUUGUCACAGUGCCUGCUGCAAAGCUACCCCAGGUAUGGCAUCAAAACAGGACAGCAAGCAGGAGGAAGGUAGGAACAGCCUUACCACAUUGAUGAAGACCAUGGUCGCUGGCUUCAUUCGGUAGGACACGGGGAUGGAGAUGAGCCUGCCCAGUGUGAUGAAUCCCCAGAAGAGGCUGGGCAGGUAACCAGCCACCUUGUGCACUACAGAGAGAGGCUCUUCCACGGCGUAGCUGUAAAUGAAGCCCGAGUAUUCACCCUGUGGGGAAGGCAGAGCAGCACAUCACGGUGAUGCGAUGAUCUCCAGGCCUUUGCAACGUUAACUUCAACCUGUCCUUCAAUUCUGACAAUACAGCAUUGCAGGAGAGUCUGCCUACGGAUUUGCUACUGGUCCUCAGUGAACCUUAUUCCCAAGAGUUUGCAGCUGGAGUCAGAAGUAGAACACAGGACUGAGACACUCCUAAAAGGGCACCGCUGAGCAGCUGCACUAGGUAGGAUGCGUGCUAAGCUCUUACCCUUAGAGAUGCUCUCUUCCCCUAGGACUGUCUUGGAAUUGCAUACUCUGAGCCCAUCUCACAGUGAGAACUCAGAGUAAAUCAUCCUUGAAGAUGGAAGCCCUGGAGAGGUUCUGUCUCUGACAGCUGCUCGGUGUAACCCCACUCAUCUUCCUGGAUCCUGUUUAAGGCCUUAGUGAGACUCAGCAGUAUUUUACCAGGAGUAGACUGAGACAAACCUGCUUGAAGGAGCAGCAGCCAAAUGAGCCCUCCUCAUCUGGAGGAGAACUAUGAGCCCCCUGUGACUGCCCUGCUGGGGGAUGUGCUGUCAGACCACUACAGAGAGACUGCAUGCAUGCUUUCCUCUUGGAUACUGUGGACCCGUCAAGCAAAGAACCUCUGUUUCUUAUGACAUGAAGCUGUUUUUACACCCUGGCUAAAGCGAGAAGAGAAUUCCACUGCCUGCAAGGACACCGUCACAACUCCAGCUCUACCCUGGCUAGGAGAGCAGCAGUAACCAUCUAGCUGCAACAACACAGCGCCUAGCAGAAGGUACACAACCCUCCCAAGAAGCAGGGAACACAUCAGCCAGAGCCAUCAGCUUUUAAUGAGCUACCUUGGGAACCCCACUGCUGCACAGACCAUCAGGUCCAGCCCACUGCACACAGGGGACAAGUGGGUGUCUCUGGGCAUGGGCUGUUGCUAGUGAUGGGGAAGGAAGAAAGCCAGCUUUGCUCAGACAAGAUCCUUCUAUCGGCUGAACUCACCACAAUCCCAUCAGUCAUGAAGAGAACAAGAGCCCCAGUGAUGUGGACUGCGAAGUAGGUGUAAGAAGCCCCUCUGAAGUUUUUGCUUUGGCAGCAGCUAAAUAAGUCAUCAUGACCUGGUGAAAAACAAUGCAAAGCAAACUUAGCUGGAACGUCCCCCUGGGGCUGGGUAGUUGCCAGCCCACACUGGGGAUUUGUUUUGUGCUCAGCUGCAGGACAGACAUUCAUAGGGACUGUGAACAACGUGCAGUGCUGCUAACCUCUGCCAGCACAAUGUCUUUUAUUUUUUAUCUUUAAGCUACCUAAACCUUCACAAGGGAUACAGCUAUGCUCAUAGGCUGACUGCCCACAGACUGGGAUCCCAGCUCUCCAGGAUAUUUGCUCCUUAGCUCGCAAAAGCUGCUUUUGCUUCCCUUCCCAUUUAGGAGCUCCAAUUGCUGCUCCCGUUCUUAAAAGAAAUAAACCCAUUCAGCCACAGCACUCAUCCUCAGAGCUCCUCACACAUGGUACAAGCACACCAGAGUCCUGCCCAGGGCAGCUCACAUUUCUCAGCUAAAAGGUGCUGAACCAAACAAGCCAACUCUGGGAAAGAGGGUGAUAAACACACAGGCUGCUGUCACAUCCUCUGACAACCACUGAGAACACCAGUCUGUCCAAACCAGCUGGGACUCAGCACCCUGCUGUGCCCAGCUGUCCCAUCCUCAGGCUCACACCACGCUGGUGGCUGUUCCUGCACUGCCAACGAGGAAAUUCUCACCACUUCUAUAGGGAAAUGAGGGAUUUUGCCAGCACAGAAACAUCUGUCACAGAUCACAGUAGUCGGCCACGCAGCCAUCCUGCUUCUCUAAGCGUUGCUCUCAAACGUGUGUAAGAAAAGGGUGGAGAUGAGAAGAGCGUGGAUUGUAUGAAAAGGGGCAGCAGGGUUCAGGAAAGAAACACUUCAUGUCUCAGCUUAGGGGAGUGCUGGUAGACGAACACAACCUUAUUAGACACCAGAGAACCCACACCUUCAGGUGCAUUCCUUGCAGCACCUCAGCACUCCAGCUGCCUCCACUUCCUUCCAGCAUUCCCUAAAAUUGUAUUGUUGGGGUGAAGCUGCCACACCUGCAGCAGUGCUCUUCUCACAACUGAAGAUGUGACUGCUUCAGAGAUUCACUGUUCAGCUGGAGGAUUCGCUUGGAUAACGUUUCUCCUGGGCAGUACAGGACAGUGUGAAGUUGCCCACCAAGAGGGCUGUAGUCACCAGUUCAAACUAUUGCUGGUGUUUAACUUUGUCCCAAACAAGUGCACUGUCCUUACACCUCUCAGAUUCAUACCAGUCAGCAUUCUGCAGCAAUCAUUGCUUUCACAUGGAGCAGACAGAGGAGCCAGCUCUAAACCUGACUGAAAACCAGAAGAAAAUAGAGGGGCAGAACUUUCACUUGUGCCUACACGACCUGGUAGCGCGGGUUUAAUUUCAGGGCAGCUCACAGGAGAGCAGCCUGGAAUCCCUGCAGCCCCAUCAGAUCUGAGGUCAAUUGGGCACCAAACCGAUGGGAUCAUUCGGGCACUUUUGGAUUACAUUCACAUUUAUGUUUUGGAAAGUUUUCUCCUUAGACAAUAGCAAUUAAGCUCACUUGUUAACCACCAUGGAGACAGUCAGAAAGAAGGCUCUUUCUCGCUCGGCUCACCCCCUGUUCCCCAGAACCAUAAGCGAGGUGCCUGCAGCUCACCUCCUGCAGCGUGGGCUCUGUGCACAGAGGCAGACAGGUCAUCCUUCUCCACGGGACGUGCUUCCAUUGCCAGUUCAUCUGCUGACAGCAGUGGGUGGCUGCUGCUGCUGAAGCACGGCACCAUGCGCUCCUUGUAGAGCAGGAAGAACACGGCGAUGGGCACCGGCAGCUGAGGAGGAGCAGAGAGGGGCAGGUAAGGGCAAUGCAGAGCUCACACAAACUGCAGUUCCUCAUUCCCAAGGGCCUUUCGGGAAGCCCAACCCAUCCCUGCUAAGCACAUCCCUCAGUGCCACAUCUCUGCGUUCCUUGGACACCUCCAGGAGUCACCAUCCAACUCCAUCAAUGCACGUCUGCCUCUACCCAAGGAAUAAUAACAUAGGUUUUGCCCAUGGAGAGCAAAGAGGUAUAAACGAGAGUCCUUUGGCUGGAACUGUGAGGAACAAGCCAGCUGUUCCAAGACCUGCUUUGCCCAUCUCCAGCCAUUAGCAGGGGUUGCUCAGCAUCUCAUGAGAUGAGCUCCUGGUUCCCAGGCCAACGGCUGCAGCCAGACAGCUGCAAGCAGCCCCUGAACCCAGCCUAUGCUGCAGGACCUGGGAUGCAAGCACCCUCUAAUCCACAGCUGCAUGACAUCCACACCCCAUGGUCAGCACUGCAUGGGCUGUGCCAGCAUUCAGUGUCCCCAUGUAGGGACAAAACACAGGGCCAGUGAGCUCAGACCUGCCUUUGGGACACCCUGCAUGCACCCCGACUUGGUGGUGCCUGCAAACCCAGAGGGACUGCUCUUUUUUAGGGGAAUGAAAAUAGAGGGAAGUAAAUGAAAAGCUGGGUCUGCCCCUGAGCAGCCUCCUCCUCCCUGCAACUGAGCGGUGUUUACUCUGCAACAAAUGGGGAGAAAGCCAGGAAAUCCUAAGUGACAGCUCACUCUCCAGCCGCCCAGCUCUUGUUUUCUCCAUGUCUGUGAGCAAGUGUGAGCUUGGGCUCCAAUUUCCUGCUUUUUGUUGGCUUGUGGCAUUAUUUAAAUGUAUGGAGAAUUCCCCCCACACCCGCCUCUCUUGCCUGAAUUUCAUUUAUGAGGACUUCAUUGUUCUGGGAACAAUGGGAAUAGGAACAGUGAGUUCGGUCCCAUGGAAGAAAAAUGCAUUUGCUUGAUAGUUCUAAUCCUUCCGGAGGUCAGGACCAGAUUUUAUUCUUCUGAAUUGCAAAUUUUGCAAAAUAAAGAAACGUCACAACAACAACAAUAACAACAAAAAACGAACCAGAGGGACUGGCCAUAGAGAUAACAGCUCCAGGCACUUCAGGAGCACUCAGUACCUGCAUGGAGGGGAUCCUCAGUUCCCAAUGGAACUGUGCACGCAUCCCAUCUGCAAAGCAAGCUGCUCCCUUUCCCUAUAUCCAGAUGAUAUCUCAAAGCUGGCGGUGCCUUGAGUGCACGAGAGCCCAGACCCUACGGGACGUAGGUUGGUCACCGAUGGCUCUCUGCUCUGGCUCCCUCUGGCAGGAGAUUCCCAAAAGCUGUGACUCCAUGGCACAGCCUGACCAUAAACCCAGGCUGUGCACAGGGACAGGAUGUCCUGGGAAGCACUUUGCUCAUUACACGGGCAGGUGGAGAAGAGCAAACAGAGCUGAGUGCCAACACGCUGCCUGGGCACACAUCACUGGGACGGCCCACACUGCAGGCACAGCUGCCCCAUCCCAGCCCUUCCACUGCCAGCAAGUGCUCCAGCUCCAUGCACUGAGCCAAAGGGGACAUCGCCUCCACCCCUUGCAGGUCUUAACCAUCAGAAGCUCCAUGAUUUGUUGUGCAGCUCAGUGUGGGCGCACCUCCAGCAUCCCAGUUUCUCAUUUCAGAUCCCCAGCGUCGCUCCCUGUGAUGCUCCCAGCACCCAUCCCAGCACAGCGCUCCCCCAGGACAGACAACCAUCCGGACAAGCACGGCCCUACAGAGGAACGUUGCCCCAAUUUCCAGCCCCUUUGGAUGAGGACAUUUCCGUUCUGUGGGAAACUGAAUUUUAAAGUGUAGUUUUUGUUCCAAAUCUGGAUGAAAAGCCCCAAAUUUUCCUCCCAGCCAAAUUUUUUUCAUUCCGAGAGUCGUCCAAGCGCUUCAUCUGAUAACUACAGCAAAAACAUUUUGCUUCAAUAGCACCACAGCGGAGUCAGCUUCACACUCUGCACCGAUGCCAAAGUCAAAUUGAGACAUUUCGACUUGAAACAAAGCAAGGAAUGGAAAUGAAUCAUUGCAGCCAUCAGGAUACACACAACACUGUGAAAACGGGUGUGGAGCUGUGGUUUGGCCAUUCAAAAAAUAACAACAACACAGUUGCUGGUCCUGGUUUCCAUUCCUACAGCUCGCUCAUCCCAGCCACUUCCCUGGGGUGUCAGCACUGAAUGCUGUGUCCUCUCCAUGCUGCACACGCUCACAUUCAAAAUAGAUAUUAAAUGCUCAAGAACUCAA